GGGACAGGAAGUGCAACUGAAGGGCCGGUUAAUGAAGACAUCCUCAAGUCCUUGAUGAGAAAUCCCCAGUGCUACAUCUGUUCUCCCAUCUGCACGCAUGAUAAAAAGAUUGUGGUAUAAUGUGGAAGCCCACAGCUGUUAGUUAGUCAUACUGGCUCACCGUUCUUUUUGUAAUGUGGAUGUGCCUUUACAAAUGCCUAAGACAUCUAAGGUGUGGGGAAACUAAGGCACAGAGCUGUGAAAUGAUUUACCCAAGGUCACAAGAAGGGACAUAUCCCCAGCUGGUGUAAAUCCGCAUAGCUUCUUUGACCUUAAUGGCCCAGGGAGUCUGUAGCAGCACUGAGAAUAGAAACAAGGGGAGGACUGAUUCUCUUCUCGCGUCCUCCCAUGUGACUCCAUUGACUUGACUUACGCUGGCAUGGGAGGAGACUUGCACCUCAGUUCUGUUCCUGUCCUGGGCUUUAGUCAUGAGAACAUCCUGGAAGGAGAAACUCCCAGAACCCCCCAGUUCUUGACAAUGGGGACCUUCGCUGGCAGCCUCAGAAGAAAGCUGAGCAAGAGCUGGAGCGUACAUCUGGAGACAGAAUGGCCAGGGCUCCACGUGAUGACAGAUGGGGAUGGUACGGAAAGAGUCGGUGAGCACAGGG